rnacentral:lncRNA from 1 species
CAUGUCCUUGGCGAUCCAACAACAAAAAUAUAUUGUUAUCAUAUUCCAUUUCCAUUUGACACAUACAACUCUUUGCAUCAAUCAUAUACGGCCUUACACCCCACUGUUCUUAACUAACAAAUCUCAACUGCAAAGCUCCAUUAGAACCCUCUUUAUCUUUACCCAUGGCAGUUCCUCUUCGAAUUCUGAUAAAUCUGUUUGCUGCCCACUAUAAUGCUCAUUGCGACCAAUAAACUUGUCCCAUGAUCUCUUCCUUCACCGUUGCGUGGUACCCAACCACAUCUCCGUUGAUUAACUUAGCGAGCACUUCAUCUCACAAAGCUUAACAAGCUACUCCCAAGUACCAUCACACUUUUUGGGUGGAAUAGAAUAUUGUGUCUUCGAUCAUCACUACCGCGUGCUUAUCUUAAUAUGCUUGCGGCAUCGUACAUCCACUUCACGUGAACAUGUUGCGCAUCAGUUGAUCCAAAGACACACUUCUACAACUGGUAAUGUCCAUUACCAACUCGUAAUGUUGUCUCCUGGAUAUUUUUCUUUGAUAUCAGAAUCUGACAAUACCUUAAUGUCAAAUCGCUCUUAGUAACUCCAAAGCUACUUGCUGUAGUUUCCAACAACUCAACGAAAUAUAUGUUGCUAACCGAUAUGGUUCCUUUGACUAGACGAUGUUCUGUAUUUUCGCUCUAUGGUGUAUGCACUAAUUCAGUUCCAUGGGUCCUUAAAAAUGCUCAAAAGCGUCUGCAUCCCCGGCUACUACAGCAAUAGUAUCCAAUACUUAGAGCUUUCACUUCCAAAUACAAAUCAUUCUCCUUUCCACUUAACUCUUCAGCUUUCAACAUCAAUAUAGCUUAUAUCCAUAUUCUAAUCCUUAUUCCAUUAAGGACUACUCUCCUCUCCUAUCGAGGAUUAUGAGUACAUGCCAAUACAAUACAUUAACUCCAUGUGCUUGGUCCCGGUCUGCUUUCCUAUCUCUCUUCCUAUUCAUUAAUCUUUUACCUCCGUAUAGAUUCUCGCUAAGCCCCGAUGCUAUCCCUAACAUACUGCAACAUCCCCGAACACUGGUACACCUCUAAAUACGCAUCCCAAAAUUAUGUCACUUCAUAUCAUUCCAAACUCCAACCCUAGCUUGUCUCCA